GCCGGGCCGUUCCCCCGGUCUGGCAAACUCUCUGCGCGCAGGUCCGGCUCGAUCCGGGCCCGCCUUCCCAGGUGUCCCCGGCGCA
rnacentral:sRNA from 1 species